rnacentral:lncRNA from 1 species
CAGGAAGCCCCGACGUCCCACCCCGUGUGCACGGUGAGCCCCUCCUGGCAUCGUCACAGUCCCUCCUUGAUGAAAGGACCUGUUGGGGGAGCUCUCUUUUGUCCCUUCAGACCCCUUUUCUCACGAGGGAAACUGAGGCACGGGGAGUUGCCGUGACUUGCUUAGGCAGGGUCAAUGAUCAGCCCCAUGUUAGUUGACCCUCCCACACUCUAAACAACCAAACUUUGGGGCCCCCAAAGCGGGUCCAUGUCUUGACAGUGUCAGGCCAAAACGUGGGUCCCGCAGCUGCUCUGGGCCAGACCCCGGGGGUCGCUGAUGGAGGCUCUCAGCCUCUCCUCGGCUUCUGAGAUGAAGACAGCAUGUAAAUCACCUCCAAUUAGGGGGCUGCCACUCGGACAUUUGCCUUCUGAGGAAGCCGGGAAAAUUCUCAGCUCGUCUGGCUUUAUCUGUGAGCCUGAGGGAUCUCUCAGGGGCUUUAAAUUCAUCAAUCAAUCCACAGACAUGGAACUGACCUUUCUAACUUGGGCUUGAGCCUCUGCACAGUGCUUUAAAUGGGGGACACCAAAGGGCCAGCCACCCUGCCCCCCCCACAGCCCAGCGCUGCUUCCCGGCUGGGGAUCAGCCUGUCACUUCAAUCAGGCGCCCCCCCCACCCCCCCCGACUGGUGGUUUUCACUAAGCUGGCCCUGUGGACGGCUCUGGUCAUGUGUAGACACGGCCUCACGAGGGGUCCGCCCUUCUCUUUUCCAGCCCUCGCCAUGUAAUUGUUCCUGACACAGUUUUAGGGAAGUGCAGCAAAACCCAGCCCUGUCAAUCACUGUUUGCUCCCGUGUCUCAGAGUGGCACCUGGAAGACCCUGCUGCCAGGGGCAUGUGUCUACCACCACCACCACCCCCCCGCCGCCGCCAGCUUAGGUUUGAGCAACGGGAAGGGGAGGAGAAAGAUUGUGCCCCGUGACCUGGCGAUGCUGAGGGGACACGCAGCUCUCUAAGUGACGGUGCCUGAACCCUAGCACUUUGAGGGCUCAGCGGGGUCCCCCCGUCAGUGAACAUGAAAAGAGAGGUGGGCCGAGCAGAGACUCAAAGGUGAGGGUAGCAGCUCCCCAGCUCCAGCUUUUGGUUGCUGAGGGUGUUUUUAAAGAGAAGGGAAGACUCAGGAUUUUUGCAGGGAGUCUCUCAGCUUCCAAAUACUGGCACCCAGGUGGCUUUGUUGUAACCCUCCUGAACCAAGCCUCUGUGGAGGGGGAUGCAGGGUGCCAUGGGGGCGACGGUCCAAAGAGGUGAAGCUGCUCCCUUGUGACCACACCGUGUCAGGACUGAGACUGCAAUCUUUCGGAUGAGUCAGUAAAUCCUGGUGGCCGUUGAAAGCCCCCGGAAAUCAUAGCAGGUCCCCGGGGCGGUGAAAGCGAGCGCUCUGAGUACAGGUUACUGAGCAAAUUCUAGAUGCCAGCUCCCCUGUCCCUUCUCGGAGCCACAGGUCUAGACAGACUGGAGGGUCACCCAUUGGUGGGGCGGGGCGGGGGGUGGCUAGAAGCCUCUGCCUGAGAGCGGCCUGCCUACUGACCCCACAGCCAUCUGAGCCCUGCAGGGGCGUCUGUGGCUUUGGAUGUCCCUGGGAAGCGGGUAGGACUUACCACUUCUGUACAGAGCCUCUGCCCCCACCCCCCAUCCUGAGAAGCAUUGCCCACACGCACAAGCUCAUUGGGUUCCCACGUGGGGUCCGGGGAGUGGACAUGAAUGCACGAUGGGACAGGCACAGCAUCUCGGGCACAGGGGAUGCAAGUGACAGCCAGUGUGAGGUGGUUCCCUGCACAGCAGGGGUGGAAAGGCAGAGCCAGGCUGGCCCUUUCCUUCCUCUCCAGCAUCUCUGUACUUCCCCGCCCCCUGCCGCUCUCCCACCCAGGAGCUGGCUGGGCUCCUCUGGGUUGUCUUGAAAGGCAGAUUGCAAACACUGCAUUCCCUGGACAGUUGGAGGCAGACCUGCAGAGGAAUAGCAGCUCAGCGCAGGGCCUCUUCCCAGAUGGAAGGUCGAAGGACAAGGGUGGUUUGGGGGCACUGUCCUCCCUGCCGCCCUGAACUAGGGAUUUGGAAUCCCCCAGCAGAGUGGAGGGAAAAAAAACAGCAGGGAGACUAGAUGACAUUAUUUCCAAGCAGUUCUCCACCUCCCCUCGCCCCAUUUCCAUUUUCCAAAGUGUAAGUUCUUUUUAUAUAAGCACUUUCUGUGAAGAGGGGGGAAGCUUUACCCACGGUGUGAAAUACAUACUCUCUGAUGUAAAUCAGGAAGCUGUUAAUACUGUAAUAAGAGCACGGGGUGUAUUAAUUGAUGCCAAUGGUGGAGAGGAAUAUUCAUAAUCGGCAGCGGCCUUUUCUUUGGAAGGAACAAAGGCUCAAGUUAGGGAGACAGUAAGGUAUUGUUCGCAGACUCUUUCAGUGAUUUUCUCCUCGGAAGAGUAGAGAAAGGUGAAAUUCCAACUGGGACUAUUCGACUAUGUCGAUCUCCGCUCAGGGGCCCUCCGCUCUCUUUAAACUGCCGAGCUGUGCUUUGCCUUAUGAUCCAAUUGUUUUAUUAGCGCAAUCAUCACGUGUUUCAUUUUGCCACAGUAAUAGCGCAGUGUCUGUCUAACAAUAAAUUAUAGAGUCAGGCAAACAAUAGUUUUGUAUUUGGGAUACAAUGAAAUAUCUUAUUGAAAUGCAGCCUUCCUUAGGUUCCUGAAAUUAGAGGCUUAUUUUACAGCGAUUCCGUUGGGCUUAAUACACAGUUUUGAACUAAUCACACGAACAGAAUCCCUCCUUUGUCAGAGCGUGGAGGGCUGUGGGAGUUUCUUGUUCCUUUAGCAUGUUCCCAUUCAUAUUUUAUUCUCCCGUUCUGUUCUGGAUAGGUCGUACCGGUUUGACACAGAGCUGCAUCAUGCUAGUAGCAUCCCCUUCUUUGCUCCAAAGAUAAAAUGAGAUCUAAAGCAGCUGCAUCCUUCUGGCCACAUUUCCCGAGCAGAUGCUCUGUUCUGAUCACGGUGUGGGUAGCAUCGUGGUCGUAAUAAUGAAUCCUAUUUCUUGAAGGAUUAUUUUCUACUGGGCACGACAGUAAAUGGUUUACGUGGUUCAUCUUGGAGGCUCCUCGUUCGGGCCACCUGGGAGUAGAUACUGUCAUUAUCUCCAUUUCGCAGAUGAGGAGAGCGGGGCUUGGGUCACGCAGCUUGGCUGAGAUGCGCAUCCCUGCCGUCGAGCCUGGGAGAUGCUUUUGCUUUGUUGUUGCUGAUUCAGUUUCACGUCUGUCCCUUCUCGCCGCCUUGACGAGAAGCCUUCUUCCUCUCUCUGGACUCCAGCACACUCUGCCAACGGGGUCGAGGUGGGGAAUACACGAGUCAGACGUGCUCCUGUUGCACUUCCAGGUGCUGAAGAGCACGUCUCCCUCCAGGGCCGGAUUCCACGUUGUGCGGUACGUCUCUCAUCGCCUCUCAGCCUCUCCGCAGCAGGGUUAUGUGGAGACGCUGUUACUGUUUGCAUCACACCAGCGAGGCGUCUGAAGCGCAGAGUUUGAGUCACUGUUCAGGUUGCCAACUGGUGACUGGGGGACCCAGGAGGCCCGCUCAGGCUGGCCGAUUCUGAAGCCUGUCCUCCCACCAGCCUUAGCUGUGUCACAUCCCACUCAGACAGGUGUCUGCUGGAGGAACAC